rnacentral:rRNA from 1 species
GACGAACGCUGGCGGCGUGCUUAACACAUGCAAGUCGAACGAUGAAGCCGGAGCUUGCUCUGGUGAAUUAGUGGCGAACGGGUGAGUAACACGUGAGUAACCUGCCCUUGACUCUGGGAUAACUGCUAGAAAUGGUAGCUAAUACCGGAUACGACCCUCGGAGGCAUCUCCAGGGGGUGGAAAGAAUUUCGGUCAAGGAUGGACUCGCGGCCUAUCAGCUAGUUGGUGAGGUAAUGGCUCACCAAGGCGACGACGGGUAGCCGGCCUGAGAGGGUGACCGGCCACACUGGGACGGAGACACGGCCCAGACUCCUACGGGAGGCAGCAGUGGGGAAUAUUGAACAAUGGGCGCAAGCCUGAUGCAGCAACGCCGCGUGAGGGAUGACGGCCUUCGGGUUGUAAACCUCUUUUAGUAGGGAAGAAGCGAAAGUGACGGUACCUGCAGAAAAAGCACCGGCUAACUACGUGCCAGCAGCCGCCGUAA